GAAAGAAGUGAUGGCUGGUUGCGACGGGGCACGUUGUCCUCCUGACCCCAUUCGGAUGGCCCCAGCAGCUCAGAGGAGCCUAUGCAUUUACCAGCCACGCACCGGGUGUACAGACCCGGCCAGGACCUGGGGAAAACCAGACGGGAGCCCUGAGCUGAAGCACAACGCCGCUUGGUGUCAUGGACGAUAACAAAGCUAUCUCUACAAGGCAGAAAAAGGACACACGUUCUUAAUGAUAUAGAAUUUUAUUUUUUUAAUUCCUGAGGUUAAAAAAGGGGAAAAAAAAGCAUCAAGAAACAUUCCA